rnacentral:tRNA from 1 species
GCGCCGGUGGUGUAAAGAGCGUUCCCAAUCGGUCAGAAGGAGGUGCGGGUUCGAGUCCCGCCUGGCGCU